CAACUACUCCCUCUGUCCCAAAUUUCUUGUCUUAGAUUUGUCUAGAUACGGAUGUAUCUAAUACUAAAAUGUGAUUUGAUACAUCCGUAUCUAGACAAAUCUAAGACAAGAAUUUUGGGACGGAGGGGGUACUUU
rnacentral:pre_miRNA from 1 species